UAGUCCACGCCGUAAACGAUGAUUACUCGCUGUAGGCGAUACACAGUCUGUGGCUAAGCGAAAGUUUUAAGUAAUCCACCUGGGGAGUACGAUCGCAAGAUUGAAACUCAAAGGAAUUGACGGGGGCCCGCACAAGCGGAGGAACAUGUGGUCUAAUUCGAUGAUACGCGAGGAACCUUACCUAGGCUACAAUGCCUCUGCUACUGGGUGAAAGCUCAGGUUCCUUCGGGACAGAGUGCAAGGUGCUGCAUGGUCGUCGUCAGCUCGUGCCGUGAGGUGUUGGGUUAAGUCCCGCAACGAGCGCAACCCCUAUCGUUAGUUGCCAGCAAGUCAUGUUGGGGACUCUAACGAGACUGCCUUCGCAAGAAGUGAGGAAGGCGGGGAUGACGUCAAAUCAUCACGGCCCUUACGCCUAGGGCGACACACGUGCUACAAUGGACGGUACAGCGGGUUGCAACACUGCGAAGUGAAGCCAAUCCCUAAAAAGCCGUUCUCAGUUCGGAUUGG
rnacentral:rRNA from 1 species